CACGUAGGCGGACUUUUAAGUCAGAUGUGAAAUCCCGGGGCUCAACCUCGGAACUGCAUUUGAAACUGGAAGUCUGGAGUUCAGGAGAGGUUAGCGGAAUACCGAGUGUAGAGGUGAAAUUCGUAGAUAUUCGGUGGAACACCAGUGGCGAAGGCGGCUAACUGGACUGAUACUGACGCUGAGGUGCGAAAGUGUGGGGAGCAAACA
rnacentral:rRNA from 1 species